CGGGGCGUGGCUCAGCUUGGUAGAGCGUCGCGUUCGGGACGCGAAGGUCGCAAGUUCAAAUCUUGUCGCCCCGACCA
rnacentral:tRNA from 1 species